rnacentral:rRNA from 1 species
UGCAAGUCGAACGAUCACUAUUAAGUAGCAAUAUUUGGUAGUGGGAGUGGCGCAAGGGUGCGUAACAUGUGGGUAAUUUGCCGUAAAGUCUGGGAUAACUUGCUGAAAGGCGAGCUAAUACCGGAUGUGAUUGCUGGAGGGCAUCCUCUGGCACUUAAAGUCGGGGACCGUAAGGCCUGACACUUUUCGAUAAGCCCGCGGCCUAUCAGCUAGUUGGUGAGGUAACGGCCCACCAAGGCUAAGACGGGUAGCUGGUCUGAGAGGACGACCAGCCACACUGGAACUGAGACACGGUCCAGACACCUACGGGUGGCAGCAGUCGAGAAUUUUUCUCAAUGGGGGAAACCCUGAAGGAGCGACGCCGCGUGGGGGAUGAAUGGCUUCGGCCCGUAAACCCCUGUCAUUUGCGAUCAAACCUUACGACCUAACACGUCGUAAGCUGAUAGUAGCGAAAGAGGAAGGGACGGCUAACUCUGUGCCAGCAGCCGCGGUAAUACAGAGGUCCCAAGCGUUGUUCGGAUUCACUGGGCGUAAAGGGUGCGUAGGCGGUCGGGUAAGUCUAACGUGAAAUCUCCGAGCCUAACUCGGAAACUGCGUCGGAUACUAUUCGGCUAGAGGAAUGGAGGGGAGACUGGAAUUCUCGGUGUAGCAGUGAAAUGCGUAGAUAUCGAGAGGAAC